GACGAACGCUGGCGGCGUGCCUAAUACAUGCAAGUUGAGCGCUGAAGGUUGGUACUUGUACCGACUGGAUGAGCAGCGAACGGGUGAGUAACGCGUGGGGAAUCUGCCUUUGAGCGGGGGACAACAUUUGGAAACGAAUGCUAAUACCGCAUAAAAACUUUAAACACAAGUUUUAAGUUUGAAAGAUGCAAUUGCAUCACUCAAAGAUGAUCCCGCGUUGUAUUAGCUAGUUGGUGAGGUAAAGGCUCACCAAGGCGAUGAUACAUAGCCGACCUGAGAGGGUGAUCGGCCACAUUGGGACUGAGACACGGCCCAAACUCCUACGGGAGGCAGCAGUAGGGAAUCUUCGGCAAUAGACGAAAGUCUGACCGAGCAACGCCGCGUGAGUGAAGAAGGUUUUCGGAUCGUAAAACUCUGUUGGUAGAGAAGAACGUGGGUGAGAGUGGAAAGCUCAUCAAGUGACGGUAACUACCCAGAAAGGGACGGCUAACUACGUG
rnacentral:rRNA from 1 species